GGCAGCUGGCCUUGCUGAGCUGCGGUGGACCCUGCCAGUUUGAGCUUCCCUGACUGCUUUGUUUACCUACUCAAGCCUCAGCAAUGGCAGACGCCCCUCCCCCUGCCAGGCUGCUGCGCAGGUCGAUCUCAGACUGCUGUGCUAGCAGUGAGCAAGGCUCUGUGGGUGUGGCAUCUGCCCAGCCAGGCAUGGCAUAUAAUCUCCUGGUGUGCCAUUUGCUAAGACCGUUGGAAAAGCACAGUAUUUGGGCGGGAGUGUCUUGUUUUUCCAGGUACCGUCUGUCACGGCUUUCCUUGGCUAGGGAAGGGAAAUCCCCUGGCCUCUUGCGCUUCCUGGGUGAGGUGAUGCCCUGCCCUGCUUCAGCUCACCCUUCAUGGGCUGCACCUACUGUCCAACCAGUCCCAGUGAGAUGAACCAGGUUCCUCAGUUGGAAAUGCAGAAAUCACCCAUCUUCUGCGCCGAUCACACUGGGAGCUGCAGACUGGAGAUGUUCCUAUUUGGCCAUCUUGGAAUGGAAUCUCAGCUUCAUGUCUUUUUAAGGUGGAAGGAAGAGUAUGGAGUGGAAAUGACCACCAUAUGUGACCUGAAGAAACAGAAGGAGAAACUGUUGAAGUUCUACGGUGAAAGUGAUGAACAGAAGUUAAUGAAAAAGUAGAAAAACACUGCAUAAAGCUGAAAUGAUGAUCUCAAUUGUGGAUUGAAAGUAUGCAUACAUCAGCAUUGCAAUGAACACAUGCCACUUAGUGGUAUACAGAUCAUGAAACAAGCAAAGAUUUAUUGUGACGAACUGAAAAUUAAAGGGAACUAGAAAUAUUCAACAGGCUGGUUGCAGAAAUUUAAUAAAAGACAUGACAUUGAAUUUUUAAAGAUUUGUGGUGAUAAAGCAUCUAUUGAUCAUGAAGCAGUGGAUAAAUUCAAUGACAAAUUUGCCAACGUCAUCACUGGUGAAAAUCUGAUGCCAGGCUCAUGGAUACUCUUCAUGAUCUGAAGGAACUAUUGAACCUCUUCCCAGAGAAAGGCACUCACAGACGUGCAUGAAAUUUGGCGCCGUGACUCGGAUUGGGGGAACUCCCCUGGGAGAUCAAUCCCCUGUCCUCUUGUUCUUUGCUCCAUGAGAAAGAUCCACCUACGACCUCAGGUCCUCAGACUGACCAGCCCAAGGAACAUCUCACCAAUUUUAAAUCAGGUAGGUGGCCUCUUCUUACUCUCUUCUCCAACCUCUCUCACUGUCCCUCAACCACUUUCUUCUUUCCACUCUUCAAUCUCUCCCUUCUCUUAAUUUCAAUUCCUUUCAUUUUCUGGGAGAGACAAAGGAGACACGUUUUAUCUGUGGACCCAAAACUCCGGCGCCAGUCACAGACUGGGAAGGCAGGCUUCCCUUGGUGUUUAAUCAUUGCAGGGAUGCCUCUCUGAUUAUUCACCCACGUUUCAAAGGUGUCAGACCACGCAGGGACGCCUGCCUUGGUCCUUCACGCUUAGCAGCAAGUCCCGCUUUUCUGGGGAAGAGGCAAGUACCCCAACCCCUUCUCUCCUUGUCUCUACCCCUUCUCUCCUUUCCUGGGGCAGGGGCAAGUACCCCUCAACCCCUUCUCCUUCACCCUUAGUGGCAAGUCCUGCUUUUCUGGGUGAGGGGCAAGUACCCCUCAACCCCUUCUCCUUCACCCUUAGUGGCAAGUCCCGCUUUUCUGGGGGAGGGGCAAGUACCCCUCAACCCCUUCUCUUUCACCCUUAGCGGCAAGUCCCGCUUUUCUAGGGGGCAAGAACCCCCAAUCCCUUAUUUCCGCACCCCAACCUCGUAUCUCUGUGCCCCAAUCCCUUAUUUCCAUGCCCUGACCCCUUAUUUCCAUGCCCCAACCCCUUAUUUCCAUGCCCUGACCUCUUAUCUCUGUGCCCUAACCCCUUUUCCCACUUUUCUGGAAGGGAAGAACCCCCAAACCCCUUCCCUCCAUUUCUCUACUCUCUUCUCUAGGCUUGCUUCCUUCACUAUAGGCAACCUUCCACCCUCCAUUCCUCCUUCUACUCCCUUGGCCUGUGUUCUCAAAAACUUAAAAUCUCUUCAACUCACAACUGACCUAAAACCUAAAUGCCUUAUUUUCUUCUGCAAUGCCACUUGACCCCAAUACAAACUCGACUGUAGUUCCAAAUAGCCAGAAAAUGGCACUUUGAAUUUUUCCAUCCUGCAAGAUCUAAAUAAUUCUUGUCCUAAAAUAGGCAAACAGUCUGAGGUGCCUGACGUCCAGGCAUUCUUUUACACAUCAGUCCCUUCCUUGUCUCUGUGCCCAGUGCAAAUCAUCCCAAAUCUUCCUUCUUUCCCUCCCGCCUGUCCCCUAAGUCCCAAACCCAAGCAUCGAUGAGUCUUUCUAAUCUUCCUUUUCUACAGACCCAUCUGACCUCUCCCCUCCUUGCCAGGCCUAGCUAGGUCCCAAUGCUUCCUCAGCCUCCGCUCCUCCACCCUAUAAUCUUUUUAUCGCCUCCCCUCCUCACACCUGGUCUGGCUUACAGUUUCGUUCUUGACUAGCCCUCCCCCACCUGCCCAGCAAUUUACUCUUAAAAAGGUGGCUGGAGCCAAAGGCAUAGUCAAGGUUAAUGCUCCUUUUUCUUUAUCCCAAAUCGGAUAGCGUUUAGGCUCUUUUUCAUCAAAUAUAAAAAUCCAGCCCAGUUCAUGACUUGUUUGGCAGCAACCCUGAGA
rnacentral:lncRNA from 1 species